GUAUCAACUAAAUUCAAAUAAAAAAUGUUGCAUAUACUUUAGUGAAGGUCAAACUGUGAUCAAGGUCAAAGUCAAGUUUCAUGAUAGAAGAACACAGUUUUUGCACUCUACGGUUUGCAUUUGAUCUAAAGAACACAGUUUUUGCACUCUACGGUUUUUGCACUCUACGGUUUGCAUUUGAGCGACAGUAUUUCCCCUUUGACCGUCAUACGAACAAAGUACAGGCAAGAUAAGGAAGCCGGAUUAUGUAUGCCGGUAUAUACAUUCCGAUGAUGGAGAUUUGGUAAAAUACAACCUUUUGAGGUCUAAUCUGGAUGAGGAGCGAUGGGUAUCUAUCAAGGACACUAAUCAAUAAUUUGAAUCGAUUCAACUCUGGCAUGUAUCAUUUUUAGUUGUUUAUGUUGAGUAGGUUUCAAUAAAUAACUUUUUAAAUUUGAGCAUGAACUCAAGUACUUCAAAAAUACUUUGGCUCUGUUUUCUUGGUUAAAUUGUACUUUACUGACGUUAUAGUCUAUCAAAAUCCAUUAUUAUUUUCCUUAUGUU